GAAACCCUGUCUUGAAAAACAAACAAAACCUGCUUAGCCAAUAAGUAAAUAAAUAAAUAAAUAAAUAAAUACUGCCUGGCUUUGCACUCCACCCCAAGCUACAUCAUCCCCUUUCAAAGUCGGCGUUUCUGAACGGAAGAUAAUGAGAGUUCCAAUUUACUCUCGGCUCACACCACCCAUACACAGCUGCCCCAUAAUCACGGCCCCCCUCGCCCCGACGCAGUACACGGUGGGGUGCACUUGUUGGACCCCCACUGGCAUGCCGUCACCCGGGGUCAAGUUCCCGCUGAGGUUCACACCUGGGGUUGUGCGACAGUAUCUUUUUUGUGUUUCGCUUUGUUUUUAAUGUGGCGUCUGUCUUAAUCACAGUACGAAAAUUGAGAAGGAGAAAAGGGAACACGCGAAACAGCACGGGAUGAUCCGUACUGAGAUCACCGGAGCCGAGAUUGCAGAAGAGAUGGAGAAGGAGCGGCGCCUCUUUCAGCUCCAGAUGUGUGAAUAUCUCAUCAAAGUUAAUGAAAUCAAGACCAAAAAGGGCGUGGACC